rnacentral:rRNA from 1 species
CCUACGUGAGGCAGCAGUGGGGGAUAUUGCACAAUGGGGGGAACCCUGAUGCAGCGACGCCGCGUGGGUGAAGAAGCGCCUCGGCGCGUAAAGCCCUGUCAGCAGGGAAGAAAAUGACGGUACCUGCAGAAGAAGCCCCGGCUAACUACGUGCCAGCAGCCGCGGUAAUACGUAGGGGGCAAGCGUUAUCCGGAUUUACUGGGUGUAACGGGGGCGCAGACGGCGAUGCAAGCCAGGAGUGAAAGCCCGGGGCCCAACCCCGGGACUGCUCUUGGAACUGCGUGGCUGGAGUGCAGGAGGGGCAGGCGGAAUUCCUGGUGUAGCGGUGAAAUGCGUAGAUAUCAGGAGGAACACCGGUGGCGAAGGCGGCCUGCUGGACUGCAACUGACGUUGAGGCCCGAAAGCGUGGGGAGCAAACAGGAUUAGAUACCCUUGUAGUC